CCUACGGGAGGCUGCAGUGGGGGAUAUUGCACAAUGGGGGAAACCCUGAUGCAGCGAAGCCGCGUGUGGGAAGACGGUCCUCUGGAUUGUAAACCACUGUCCCCAGGGACGAAGAUGACGGUACCUGGGGAGGAAGCUCCGGCUAACUACGUACCAGCAGCCGCGGUAAUACGUAGGGAGCGAGCGUUGUCCGGAAUUACUGGGUGUAAAGGGAGCGGUGGCGGGGAUGGAAGUUGGGUGUCAAAACUACCGGCUCAACUGGGAGUCGCACUCAAAACUGCAGCUCAUGAGUGAAGGAGAGGCAGGCGGAAUUCCUGGUGUAGCGGUGAAAUGCGUAGAUAUUAGGAGGAACACCAGUGGCGAAGGCGGCCUGCUGGGCUUUUACUGACGCUGAGGCUCGAAAGUGUGGGGAGCAAACAGGAUUAGAUACCCCAGUAGUC
rnacentral:rRNA from 1 species